rnacentral:rRNA from 1 species
GACAGGGGAUGCAAGCGUUACUCGGAAUUACUGGGCGUAAAGCGUCUGCAGGCGUCCUGAAAAGUCUGGUGUAAAAUUUCGGAGCUCAACUCCGGAGUCGUGCCGGAAACUCUCAGGAUCGAGUCACUCAGAGGCACCUGGAAUGUCGUGUGUAGGGGUAAAAUCCGUUGAUCCACGAUGGAACGCCAAAAGCGAAGGCAGGGUGCUGGGGGUGUACUGACGCUCAGAGACGAAAGCGUGGGGAG